GGAAGAAGGAGACAGGGGAGUAGAAGAAGAAAAACAGGAAGAAGGAAGAGAAGAGGAACAAGAACAAGAACAGGAAGCAGAAGAAGACGUACCUCUGCCACUGGUUGCUCUUGAUCUGCUGCAGCUCAUCGAACUUGGCAGUGACGUCGUCGAUGGAAAGCUGCAACAGGUCCCAGAAUCCAGCCAGGUCCUGAGAUGUGGGUCUGGGCAUGGCACUGGGGUCCUGGGGAGACGGUGGAGGACGAGAUGUGCGGAGAUAAGAGCCAGUGAGGCGGAGAGGAGAAGAGAUGGAGACAGACUGGUUACCUGGAGGAGGCUGAGCGCGGUCCACGCUGCAGGAAGUAGGGAGACGAAACUGAAUCCCUGCAAGGAGCAAGCAGCACCAGUUACUAACGGA